rnacentral:rRNA from 1 species
UGCAAGUCGAACGAUGAAGCCCUUCGGGGUGGAUUAGUGGCGAACGGGUGAGUAACACGUGGGCAAUCUGCCCUUCACUCUGGGACAAGCCCUGGAAACGGGGUCUAAUACCGGAUAACACUCUGUCCCGCAUGGGACGGGGUUAAAAGCUCCGGCGGUGAAGGAUGAGCCCGCGGCCUAUCAGCUUGUUGGUGGGGUAAUGGCCUACCAAGGCGACGACGGGUAGCCGGCCUGAGAGGGCGACCGGCCACACUGGGACUGAGACACGGCCCAGACUCCUACGGGAGGCAGCANUGGGGAAUAUUGCACAAUGGGCGAAAGCCUGAUGCAGCGAC